CGCGGCCUAUCAGCUUGUUGGUGGGGUAAUGGCCUACCAAGGCGGCGACGGGUAGCCGGCCUGAGAGGUGUACGGCCACAUUGGGACUGAGAUACGGCCCAGACUCCUACGGGAGGCAGCAGUGGGGAAUAUUGCACAAUGGGCGCAAGCCUGAUGCAGCGACGCCGCGUGGGGGAUGAAGGCCUUCGGGUUGUAAACUCCUUUCGCUAGGGACGAAGCUUUGUUGUGACGGUACCUAGAUAAGAAGCACCGGCUAACUACGUGCCAGCAGCCGCGGUAAUACGUAGGGUGCGAGCGUUGUCCGGAUUUAUUGGGCGUAAAGGGCUCGUAGGCGGUCUGUCGCGUCGGAUGUGAAAACUCGGAGCUUAACUCCGGGCCUGCAUUCGAUACGGGCAGACUAGAGUUCGGUAGGGGAGACUGGAAUUUCUGGUGUAGCGGUGGAAUGCGCAGAUAUCAGGAAGAACACCGAUGGCGAAGGCAGGUCUCUGGGCCGACACUGACGCUGAGGAGCGAAAGCAUGGGGAGCGAACAGGAUUAGAUACCCUGGUAGUCCAUGCCGUAAACGGUGGGCGCUAGGUGUGGGGAAUAAUCUACAUCCUCCGCGCCGCAGCUAACGCAUUAAGCGCCCCGCCUGGGGAGUACGG
rnacentral:rRNA from 1 species